CCACUGUACAGCAAGGGGGUCAGGUUAUCCUUAGAUGUAUACAUUGCAAUUACAGUUUUUUCCCCCACCCUUUCUUCUCCUAACCAAGGCUCAUGAGCAGAGCAGCAAACUCAGUCAUUCGUUGGAUUUAGUGCCUUAAGCCUCCUCUCCUGCCCCAUCCCUCUCCAGCGUUCCUUGCACCCCAGUCCCCAGACACGGACAAAUGAUAACCGUAGGAACAGCUGAAAAUUGUGAUGCCGACGAAUCUAUAUUGGAACAAAAUUCAGCAUCCCACAAAACUGCUUUUUGGUUGCAGGAGGCUGUUCUUGGGAGGUACACAGCAAGUCAUCCCGAAAUGUGGGGACAGUGAAUCAGUGGUAGGUACAUAAGAUGUCUGUGAUUACUGAUCUGCUAAAGUUCUUAAGGAUAGGACAGGAUGUGCCUCUGGACAAAGCAGGAAGAGCAAGGCCUGGAAAUCAAAUCAAGGCUUGACAAUGGAAAAAAAAAAAAGCCAACUGUAUUAACAUUAGCUGAAGCAAUAUUACAUAGAGAGAAAUGGUGAGAUGUGAGGAGCUGAGGAAAAGCAGUAAGAAGGAGCACAUCUUUGGGAGUUUACCUUGCCUCCCACCAGAGUAAUGGGAGCUCUGGAAACCCUUGAGCAUUACAGGCAGCUCAGAGCUUCCCCGAAUCCUCUCUUGAUAAGGAUCUUAAGGUUGGUCCAGGGAGCAAUGGGAAGGCAAAGAUUUGGUAAUUGAUUAGUCAUGUCUAUCGUGAGCACAGGGGUGGGCGAUUAGACCAGCCCCCCUGCCAUUCUGGACCCUUGCGCGCCCCUCAGAGGAUGGAAAUAUCUUAAGUCAUCUUGGCUAUUAAAAUCAUUCAUCUUGCUCACCUUGUUUUGAUUCCGUGAAUACCAACCUCCUAACUAGAUUUUGGCAACCCAUGUGACUUUCCUACAGGGGAAAGAAUGUGCUGACAGGCUGACAUAAAGUUCUCAGGCUGCUUCUCAGUGCUUGUCCCACUGUGAUUUAAUAUAUUUGUGGUCUGGCUUCCUCACCAGGCUGCUGUGAAUUUGGUUAGCCUGUCCCUUUCAGCCUGAUUAGCUCCACGUGCACAAAAGGAGCUCCAUCUCUGACCUGCAGAUGAGCCUUGCCAGCCUCCAGCUCCCCUGCCAUGCUGGCCCUGAGGGGUUCUUCUCUUGACAUUGCUAGCCGGCUACUCGGUCAUGUCAAUCACCCCAACCACAGCCAUCUACCCAGAGCCCAGAAUGAGCUGUGGGAGGCCUGUGAAAAGAGUGCUACAGCCACCAAAAUAACCUUAUAUGUUCUGCUGAAUAAAAAAGAAUAAGGAAGAGAGAUUGGGGGGAGAUGCCAAGAAUACGCAAUAGAAAACAAGCAGAAGGAGUUGGCAGUGUUUAAUCUAGAGCCAGGAAGAUCUGGGAGGCCCAACUGCUUCCCUGUCAUCAAAUAUCUGAAGGCCUGCAGUGAUGAAAAGGGGAUGGAUUUGUUCCCUGGGGCUCCAGAAGAAAGUAUGAGAACCAAGGGGUGACAGACACAGGGAGAUAGAUUUCGGCUAGAUAAAAAAGAGGAACUUUUAAAGGCAGUUUUCCUCUAAUAGCAAUAAUUCACUUGUCAUCUUCACUUUUUUCCUUUCUUCUUUCUUUGAUCAAAUUUGCGAGAAACGGGAGUUCCCGUUGUGGCCAGCGGAAACAAAUCCGACUAGGAGCCACGAAGUUGUGGGUUCAAGCCCUGGCCUCACUCAGUGGGUUAAGGAUCGGUGUUGCUGUGAGCUGUGGUGUAGGUCUCAGACAAAGCUAGGGUCCCACGUUGUUAUGGCUGUGGCAUAGGCCAGCAGCUGUGGCUCCAACUCGACUCCUAGCCUAGGAACCUCCAUAUGCCGCAUGACUGGGUCACCAUGCUGUACAGUAGAAAAUUGGCAGAAAGCUGUAAACCAACUAUAACAGAAAAAAAAAAUCAUUGUAUUAAAAAAAAAAAAGAAAAAAAUUUGAGAGAAGCAGUGUAAUCUUUCCAUGAGGAACACAAAUUGGAGUGGGAAUGCCUGGUUCAUUUUCUAGUUCUAUCACCUACUAGCUACAUUAACUUUGGCAAGUUACCUUACUUUCCUAUGUCUAUUUCCUCUGCUAAUAUUAGUACCUACGUACUUAACCCAUGUGAUUAUGGUGAGGAAUAACUAAAUUAUACUUGUAAAGUGUUUAGAAGAGCACCCAGCAAUAAGUGGUAGCAACUAUUAUUUUAAAUUACAAUUUCAUACCACCUAUACUAUUAUUUAAUAUUUUUCUUUAAAUAGACAUUAUUUAUAUAAAUUUAUUUAUUUUAAUUUUUUUUGGUCUUUUUAGGGCCGCACCUGCAGCAUAUGGAGGUUCCCAGGCUAGGGGUCUAAUUGGAGCUGUAGCCGACGGCCUAAACCAGAGCCACAGCAAUGGUGGAUCCAAGCCACAUCUGCAACCUACACCACAACUCAUGGCAACGCCAGAUCCUUAACCCACUGAGCAAGGCCAGGGAUUGAACCUGCAACCUCAUGGUUCCUAGUCAGAUUCAUUAACCACUGAGCCAUGAGGGGAACUCCUUUAUAAAUCUAUUUUAAAGGAAACUUUCUAUUACUUUUGUAAAUGCAAAGCCAGAAACACUUGCCCUGUAUAGAUAGAAACUGUACAACCAAACAUAAAACAAUGUUAUUAAAUUUUAGCUAGCUACUGUUGCCUGUUCCACUCCCUAAUUUUGAGGACGGCUCUCUUUUCCAUAAGGAGACAAGCAAGUUACAAAAAACGGUCUGGUACUUCACUGAGACUUUUUUGGUUGACUGUAGUCAGAAGGAAGAGUCUGGCAAGUUCAAGGAAGUGAAACACCAGUGCAGCUGCAACUCCUGCUCUGGGGAGAGAGAGCAGGGAGGGCUGGGGAGGGAGACAGGGCAAGAUCAAAGGGAUGGUUUAAAAAGGAAAUACCUCUCCUAGAAUGUGACUUUGUGAUCUUUUGCACCAUGGAACCAUCUCACAGGGCACCCAGGGGGUAGGAUUAGCACACUUUCGAAAGCAAGGUCAGAGAUACUUUGUAGCCCACAGUACUCAUCAGCGCCCCCUGGAGGAUGCCCACAGACAGUCCCCCAGACACACCAGCUGCCUCUCACUUCCUACUUGAAGGUAUGUUCUGGCUGCAGGGUGUAUGCUCCAGGCUGCAUGCAGAAGUAGAGGGAUGCUGGGGUGCACCAUCUCUCCAAGCAUCCCCAGAGAGAUUAAGCUCUUUGCUCCAUGGUAACUCAUUCAUCAACACAUCCUUUACUUGGCCCUCCUCCCCUCCCCGGUCCACUUCACUCUCACCAGGCCCUCUGGGAUUACCUCCCAAAGAAGUUCCUGGCACUCUAACCCUUGUCUUAUGAUCUGCUUUGGGGAAACCCCAACUAUGGCACAGUUUAAACUUCUGACAGCGGAAUGAGUUGCCCAGUGAGUAAGUUCCAUUUUAUUGGAGCACUCAAGAUUUAGCUGAGAAUGUUCCAUGAAGAUUCAUGGAUCAGGUAAGAAUUCAACUGGAAGGACAUUUAGUAUCCUUCUGACACUUAGGUCUCAUGAUUCUAGAUCAAGAGUUGGCAAACUACAGCCCACAGCCACUCCACUGCCUGUUUUGAUACAGCCCGUGAACUAAGAAAAUAUAUUUUUUAAAUAUACAUAUAUAUACACACACACACACACACACACAUAUAUAAAGGAAAUACCUAAUAUAUAUAUUAGCUUUUUAGGGCCGCACCCGUGGCAUAUGGAGGUUCCCAGGCUCAGGGCUGAAUCAGAGCUGUAGCCGCCAGCCUACACACCACAGCCACAGCAAUGCCAGAUCUGAGCUGUGUCUGCAAACUACAGCACAGCUCAUGGCAACGCCGGAUCCUUAACCCACUGAGUGAGGCCAGGGAUCGAAUCUGCAACCUCAUGGUUCCUAGUCAGAUUCAUUUCUGCUGAGCCAAGAGGGAACUCCUACAAUUUUAAAUGGUUGGAAAAAAAAUCAAAACAAGAUUUAUGUGGCCCUCAGAUUUCAGUGUCCAUCAAUAAAGGUUUUUUUAUUGAUAAAGUUUUAUUGGAACAUGGCUAUACUCACUCAUUCCCAAAUCAUCAGUAAUAAUUUUAUUUUUAAAACAACAGAGCAUAAGAGUCUACUGUACAGAACAGGGAACUAUCCAAGCUCUUGGGAUAGAACAUGAUGGAAGAUAGUAUGAGAAAAAGAAUGUGUAUAGAUGUAUAAAUGGGUUACUUUGCUGUACAGUAGGAAUUGGCACAUUAUAAAUCAACUAUACUUUAAUAAAAAGAAAAUAAGCUAAAAGGGCAUGAGACCUUUUCUUGCCCACCCUCUGACCACUGUCUGAAAUGUUCUCAUCCAUGCUUGAUGGCUUCAUUCAGGAUGGAUUCAUUCCUCCUCAAACUAAAACAAAUAUCCAGCCCAGGACCAUGUCCUGAGUGAGAUCUUAGAUCAAAACUCAAAUGUCUGUUCAACAUUGGAUUAAGAGGAGGGUGAGGAGGUGGGUGUUGCUGCUUACUGGUGGUGUGACUUGGAACAGGGCAUUUAACCGCAUGGGGUAUCAAUUUCAUCACCUGUCAAAGGCGGAAAUGAUGCUGCCCAGCCUGCCAGGAUUACUGGACAAGAGAGCUGCCCACAAAAAAAAAAACACAGUGCCACCUGGCCCAGCCUCUCUCUCCAGCGUUAUCAUAUGACUGGACCUCUGCUUCCUCUGACCACCGCACUCCCUGCACACUGGCUCUCCUUGAGCUCCUUGACUUUGCCAAGCUCUUGGCUACCUCUGGGCCUUUGCACAUGCUGCCUUUUUUUUUUGCCUGAAACACCUUUUUUCUCAUCCCCCCUCUCCACUGCCCCUUGGCUUGGCUGCUUCUCAGCCUUUCUGACCCCCAAUCCAAGACAGGCCCCUUCUGGAUGCUGCUCCAUCUUUAUGCUUGAUUUUCUCAUCCCACGUGUAGCAAUGUCUAAUUAUAGUCAAUUAAAAAAUAUUUUUUAUUAUUAUUAUUUUUUGCUUUUCAGGGCCACACCAGCAGCACAUGGAGGCUUCCAGGGUGGGGGUCAAGUCGGAGCUGAAGCUGCCAGCCUACACCACAGCCACAACAAUGUGGGAUCCGAGCUGCAUCUGUGACCUAUACACCACAGCCCAUGGCAAAGCUGGAUCUCCAACCCACCGAGCAAGGCCAGGGAUCGAACCCACAGCCCCAUGGUAGUCAGAUUCUUUUCUGCUUCGCCACAACAGGAACUCCCAAUUAUAGUUAAUUCUCAUCUUCGUAGUGGUUAUGUUCUAUAAAGUUGCCAUGAACACGGAAUUAGCAAAUACGGAACCUUUGCUCCUAAGGGAAGAACCUAAGGUUAGGUUUCUGUAAGCCUCUGGUCCCAUUUUCAUCAACAGAUUGAUAUGUAACCUUGUUUUAUGUGUGUUUCUGUUUCAAGACCCCUUAUUUAAAUAUGUACUGUUGAGUAAAUCAACUAUAAUUAAAAAACUUUUGUAAAAUAAAUAUAUGCCAUUGAUUCGUUCACAAUGAAUUCACAGCCAGUACCACUACAACCCAUGCCUGAACAAAGCGUAUCUAACAUGCAUUUUCUCUAUAAGGCACAUGGCAGCCUUCAUGUGCUUAAGGGUGCUAGACACUAUAUUCGGGGGUGAUUUUUAAACAGCAAAAUCACCAACACGAAGCACAAAAAUGCAAAACGAAACAAAACAAAAAACCAUGGCACUAAACAGACCACAAAAAGGACGCUUGUUUAUAGUUCUCGGAGCUGAAACAAGAAGGCAGAGUGACAUCUUGUUUUGAUCUCAGCUGGGAACAUGUGUGUUGGCAACUGAAAUUUUUGGCCACACUGUUCACAUCCAUGUAUGACCAUGAAAAGUGCUACAGAUACUGAUUUGGGGGUUACAAAUAAAUUUGAGUGAGUGGGAGAAUUGGUAAAUACACAAUCUGCAAAUAAUAAGAACCUACUGUACUUUCUUCUCAUUUCUCUCAUUUGCUAGUGUGUAAGUACACUGGGGGCUGGUUCACCUCUUACCACUUUAUCUCUAGCAUCUGGAAAAUUGCCUGGUACAUAGUAGGCCCUCAGUAAUCAGUACCGUUUAUGAACGCAUGAGUCAGUUCAGCGAAAGUGCUUUGGCAGAAAUGACAGCUAGUGUUUACGGAGGAGACACUAUAAGCUGCCCUGUGUGAAGUGCUUUUUCUAUGUUCUCUCCAUCAAUAAGGGAAACAGCAGAUUAUUGCACUUUUUUUU
rnacentral:lncRNA from 1 species